CCUACGGGUGGCAGCAGUGAGGAAUAUUGGUCAAUGGGCGCGAGCCUGAACCAGCCAAGUAGCGUGAAGGAUGACUGCCCUACGGGUUGUAAACUUCUUUUGUAGAGGAAUAAAGUCAGGCACGUGUGCCUGUUUGUAUGUACUUUAUGAAUAAGGAUCGGCUAACUCCGUGCCAGCAGCCGCGGUAAUACGGAGGAUGCGAGCGUUAUCCGGAUUUAUUGGGUUUAAAGGGUGCGUAGAUGGGUUGUUAAGUCAGUGGUGAAAGUGUGCGGCUCAACCGUAAAAUGGCAGUUGAUACUGGCAGUCUUGAGUACAGUAGAGGUAGGCGGAAUGCGUGGUGUAGCGGUGAAAUGCUUAGAUAUCACGAAGAACUCCGAUUGCGAAGGCAGCUUACUAAACUCACACUGACGUUGAGGCACGAAAGCGUGGGUAUCAAACAGGAUUAGAUACCCUUGUAGUC
rnacentral:rRNA from 1 species